rnacentral:rRNA from 1 species
UACGUAGGAGGCAAGCGUUGUCCGGAAUUACUGGGCGUAAAGUGUGCGCAGGCGGCCGCGCAAGUCGAGUGUGAAAGCCCCGGGCUUAACUUGGGAAUUGCGCUCGAAACUACGUGGCUGGAGUGUGGCAGAGGAAGGUGGAAUUCCACGUGUAGCGGUGAAAUGCGUAGAGAUGUGGAGGAACACCAAUGGCGAAGGCAGCCUUCUGGGCCAACACUGACGCUCAUGCACGAAAGCGUGGGGAGCAAACAGG